GGAUGUGAGAGCGCGGCCGCCGGUGCCUCACCUUCUCAAUUGAGUAGGGAGGCGCUGAGGAAGGUCUCCCCUCCACCAGACAGCGGUGCGGCGAAAGCCGCGAGGCGAGAGCCUUGCUCCAGGAUCAGAAACGACACGUCCACAUGUGAAAUGACUAUGAUGCGGUUGAAGAGAUGCUAUAGGGCGUCUCCGAGUAGGAGCCUUGGUAACUCGGCUCAGUAACCCGUUGAGGAUCCUUGUGGGAGCGGUGAAACGGCCUGUCACCGCGGAGAAAGCCCAAAUAGGCUGUGGAUGAUGCGUCUGGCUGAACCAGCGGGUAGGGUGAGCAGCUGAAUGCCGCAAAGGGCGCUCUGGCGACGAAGCGCCUGGAACAAAAGGGGGCCUACUUCUCACACCU
rnacentral:RNase_P_RNA from 1 species